UACGGGGGGGGCAAGCGUUGUUCGGAAUUACUGGGCGUAAAGGGUUUGUAGGUGGCUUGUUAAGUCAGACGUGAAAUCCCUCAGCUUAACUGGGGAACUGCGUCUGAUACUGGCGAGCUUGAGUGCAGGAGAGGAACGCGGAAUUCCAGGUGUAGCGGUGAAAUGCGUAGAUAUCUGGAGGAACACCGGUGGCGAAGGCGGCGUUCUGGACUGCAACUGACACUGAGAAACAAAAGCCAGGGUAGCAAACGGG
rnacentral:rRNA from 1 species